rnacentral:lncRNA from 1 species
GACUAGUUGAUCUCAAAACCCUGUCUCCUGAUAAGAUGUUAUCAAUGACAAUGGUGCCCGAAACUUUAUUAGCAUGGCUUGUGGGGCAUCACGGAUCCUACCAAUGUGUGAUGUCUCCCCCGGACGCCCAGCUUUAAAAUAAAAUUUAAAAAUUAGCUGGGUAUUGGGGCAUGUGCCUGUAGCUGCAGCUACUCAGGAAGGGGAGGCUGAGGCAAAAGGAUUGAGCUCAGGAGUUGGAGGCUGCACUGAGCUUUGAUGGCACCACUGUACUCCAGCCUGGGUAACAAAGACCCUGUCUCUUAAUAAAAAAAGAUGGAUUCUAGGACUGUAGAAUAGAUAGUUAAACAGCAUGGGAUAUGAGGGAAGUCCUCAGCAGUAUUAAUUUUGCAUUCCAAUUUCAUAUUGACGAUACAUAUGAUGGCUUUUUGUUUUAAUGGAGUUAUCUUGAGAACAUGAUAUCUGGAGUUAAAGGUACUGGCAUAUUCCACACAUCUGUACUAUUCUUGAGUGUCAUCGCUUAGGAAUGAAUAUGAUUUGAAUUCAUUCAUGUUAAGAGAGGGUGUCAAAUUGAGAACCAGGCAGAUCCACCACCUAC